rnacentral:tRNA from 1 species
UGACUGAGCUGUUGCAGGCGUGGCAAGAUUUGCGCGCGCCGGAUCAGACGGAUGUUGGUGGCCGUCCCGAGGAUCUUGUUCUUGCACGGCUAG